UGUGGCACAUGGAGCGAUCACAGGCUCCAGGGUGUCAGCCAGCUCUCUGCCUCAGCCCAGAAUCACUGAUGUGCUCCUGUAUUCUCCCUGGAACUGUGCCAUUGAUGGUGAAGCAGCUACAGGACGCAUGAAGCCUCAGCACAGAGAGUUUUAUAGUAGAAAAGAAAAGGGCUGCACAAUUCCUGAUGCAGAGCAUCGACCCACCAAACUUCCAGAUGAGUGGAACUCCAUGAGGAAGGCUGGAGAUCAAAAGAUUCCUAACAUCAUGCUGGGUCCUCUAAAACCUAAAGAUGGUGCACGGAAAUACUUUGAGAUUCUUGAGACUCAGCACGGUGAAGCUGGGAGAAACUGCAUCGUUAUCCCGUUCCUCCUCCCAGGUUUGAAGCCACCCUGCAUCUCACUGUAGACGUGAAACCAUGAAGAUUGAUGAGGAUGCUCUGAUGAACCAGUACGCAUUGAUAACACUGCAGUGACAUCUUCAGCGGACCUGUCAGAACAAGAGCCUGAUGACCUGUUCAGAGCUUUUAAAGCUCUAUUCGGAGGAGGCCAGAGUUCCCAGAGGAAACCCACCCAGGAAGACCAAACUCCACAGGAAGACGUCCAAAAAUGAUGGAAACCCCUGAGACUGACUUCCUGUUUCAGACAUUUAGGAAACAUUUUAAUGAUCCUCACAGUCUUUCAUUGGUGUCAUAAUGAACUGAAAUGCUCAGAGGUAUAACUGCUGUAUUAGCAGCAGUGACAGCAUAAAUGUAAUUACCUAUAAUCAGGAUGGUUUGAGAGAAAGCUGAUUUGACCCUUUGUGUUGUACUGGAGGAAGUACUGCAGGCACAAAUGUUUACUGUGUAAUUCAUUCACCAUCCAGGUGAAUGAAUUACACACUCAUUCAUUUUAUACCAGUGGGGAUAAAAUGAAUGAGUGCCCCCAGAGCCAGCAGCCACCCUAGAAUACAGUCAGCUCCACCCUCAGCACCAUAGCCAACCCCCACCCUGGGUCGGGCGCAGGAAACAGGGGUGUGAAAAGACUCGCCUGCUCCCCUCCCCACUCAUGUGGACAGUGAAAUGUAAACAGUGAGCAUGUCUGUAUGAAAACUAGAGCGCUAUUAAAAUUGAGGGGACAGACGCAUGAUGAGACUUCAGCAGUGCUCAUCC